rnacentral:rRNA from 1 species
GUCGAACGUGAACCUCACUUGUGGGGGGUUAGUGGCGAACGGGUGAGUAACACGUGAGUAACCUGCCCUUGACUCUGGGAUAAGCCUGGGAAACCGGGUCUAAUACUGGAUACGACCUUCUGGCGCAUGCCAUGUUGGUGGAAAGCUUUUGUGGUUUUGGAUGGACUCGCGGCCUAUCAGCUUGUUGGUGGGGUAAUGGCCUACCAAGGCGACGACGGGUAGCCGGCCUGAGAGGGUGACCGGCCACACUGGGACUGAGACACGGCCCAGACUCCUACGGGAGGCAGCAGUGGGGAAUAUUGCACAAUGGGCGCAAGCCUGAUGCAGCGACGCCGCGUGAGGGAUGAAGGCCUUCGGGUUGUAAACCUCUUUCAGUAGGGAAGAAGCCGGCCUUUUGGGUUGGUGACGGUACCUGCAGAAGAAGCGCCGGCUAACUACGUGCCAGCAGCCGCGGUAAUACGUAGGGCGCAAGCGUUAUCCGGAAUUAUUGGGCGUAAAGAGCUCGUAGGCGGUUUGUCGCGUCUGCCGUGAAAGUCCGGGGCUUAACUCCGGAUCUGCGGUGGGUACGGGCAGACUAGAGUGCAGUAGGGGAGACUGGAAUUCCUGGUGUAGCGGUGAAAU